UCAAAUAUAAAUAUUUAGAAGAUCUAACAAUUUAGAAUUGAAGAUAAGAACAUAAACCAUACCUUGUGGCUUGUCCUUAAGAGUUGCAAGGUAUGACCUGCAAUUCCUUUUCCAAUGCCCCUCCUUUCCACAGUGGUGGCAAGUCCCCUUUGGGCUCCUUUGCCUUCUUUUUUCCUCACUCCUCCUUUCGGCUUAGGAGUGGGAGACUUCUUCUCCUUCCCUUUGCCUUUGCCUUGCGGCUUGGCCUUAGAAGAGGAUGGCUUGUUGUAGGCUACUGCAGCAGUCCCUACAACGUUCUCUUUCUUCAUAG
rnacentral:lncRNA from 1 species